rnacentral:lncRNA from 1 species
GGGAGACAUUUUAUUAGUGUUAAGCUUUUCAAGAAUUGUAAUGGUAUUCCAACUAACUUAUUGUAAAACACCAGUUCCAGCAGAUUUCAUGAUCGUUCAAGGCUCAAGCAACCUGAACACAAAGUUUUUGUUACCAAAAAAAGUGAAAAAUAUGCUUUAUUAGCCGAUGACACAAUAAUCUCCACUGGACAGGAGCCUAAAGGCAAGUGACUUAAAUAUAUGUUAAAUGUAAAAAAAAUAAAAAAUAAAACAGGGUGUUAAAAUAGUGUAUCACAAAGCACAAUGUGAACUGGAAAUGCAUUUGAUUCAGUCAUUAUCACAGUCAUUAAUAAUAAAGACAAGAAGGUUGAGGUUCAGAAAACUAACUGGGAAUCUUAUUUUAUGUGAGGUAUGACAAACUACAAUUAUUUAAAUAAUUAUAAUGACAAAAUCUCAAAAAAAUUAAAAACGAAAAAAUGCACAGAUAAAUACACAUGGGCUUUGAUAUGAUUGUAUGCAUCAAUAAAACAUGCUAUUACCAGCAAAGAACUUAAUUCACCUUUCUUUCAUGAUGUGGUAACAAAUAGUGGGGUGCCCCAGGUUAAAGUGUUUGCCAUGGAUAAAAAUCUAUUCGGGUGAACACUAAGGGCUAGCUUGCAUUAGACAAGUGCAACGUGUCCAUUGUAAAUGAAUAGAUUUUUUCCCCCAAUAAAACUGAGUGCGUGAACUGCUGUUAAGUUAACAAAAUGUAAUGUAUCUGUGUUAAUAUAAUCCAGGCACCUAAUCAUGAACCCUUCUAAUAUUUAGCUGCUUUAUUUUAUUUAUGCUUUAGCAUCUUAUGUAUUACAAUCCCCCUCACCCCCCACACGCACAAAUAAAAAUGUGAAAUAACGUGAUGACAGCUAAAUAUCUACUACAAAAUGCAAAUUUAAAAGGAAUACCCCUUUAAAUGCAAUAUAAGUUCUUGGGUAGAUGGUAGAUUCUUCUACUGGAAAGUAGGUUCCUUGGUAAAAUCCAUAUACAUAUGUAAAACAGAAAGAACAGGAAAUCCAAUAGUACAAUAAAUUAAUAUAAGCAUGGUGUAUAUGAUAAAACAGCGGUAUCUUACUCAGAUUUUAGGGAGCUAUGACCAGCUCCAGUUAUAGUAGAGUACAGUGGAAUACUCCCCACUUAUUGGAUAUGUGGAUAAGUGUCUGAAGAAGAGAUAGUUGGUAUUGCUUCCUCCAUUUGAUAAAGCCCCAUGUGCUGAAACGCGUUAUGGAAAUUAUUACUUUGAUUUUUUUUAUCUAAUAAAGGAUUUUUGGUCACUAUACUUGUGUACUGUGCCUAAUAACCUUUUGUUUUAGAUUGAUUUAUUUUAUCAUAUUUAUCUCCUGGCUUCCUGUUUACUCCAAAGAAAUCUUAGGUGGAGAUCAAACCACUGGCGACUUUUACAUGCUCUGUAUUUGUGAGUAUUCACUACAAUUAUUAUUUUAGCAUUUUUCAUUGCCAACAGAGAGCAUUAUUAUCUGCCUUAUUAUAUUCUUGUCAUUUUGGGUUCAACAAAACUACCUCUCUUUUAGACACUUAUCCACAUAUCUUAUAAGUGGGGAUUAUACCACUGUAUGCUACUAUAGCUUGAGCUGGUCAUAGCUCCAUUAAAUGUGAAUAAGAUACCGCUGUUU